UACAACUUGAUAUUGUAGCCGUAGAUAGCAGGGGCAUUGCUUAAUUUCCUGCUGAGGUGAAGUUAAUAGGGUAAAUCUCUAUUGCCUCGCCUUGCUAUAGGUUGGGGCUUUUAUUUUUGCAAA
rfam:Synechococcus sp. PCC 7502, complete genome.